rnacentral:lncRNA from 1 species
GGUCAGUGAGACUUUUUUCGUAACAUGUAUUACGCGGUCUGACACAAAAUGCGACAAUUUACAUGUUUUUUAUUUAUACAUAUGUAUAAGCUUAUUUUUUAAUGCAUGGUUUAUUCCUGUUCGACCAUUAUUUGUUUUAACACGUCUUACUUCAUGUUUAAUUGGACCUAUUUCCGCGACAAACGUUGACAGGCAGUGCUUAGGUCUAUCCUAAACAUGGCCACCAUGAUGGAGUAAAGCUUCAACUUUAAAUUUCACAUUUUUAGAAGAAAACUUAUACAUUUUCUAUAUUUUCACAGGAAUGUUUCAACGGAAGAAAUUAUAUCAGUCAUCUUAUCCAUAUGAAAUCAUUGGAGAAAGUUUCUUGUUGGAUUUAAUAAUGGUUUAAGUUGUCUGGAAGCUGGAAACGAAAAAAAAAAUAAUUGCAUCAAUACCAAUGUCAUCAGAGGACAAGAGUCUGGAUCCCUCUGACCACGGCCCUUCUAUUCCCCUGAGCAGUACUGGGGGGCGCACCCCCUCCCCUGCCCCCACAGACCGGCGCCCCCGCGGCCGGCCUCGUAAGGAUGCAGGCUCUGGAUUACCCACACCCAGAAAGAAGGGACGUAGCAGAGGCCGAGCCCAGGUAGAGGAUGAGGACAGCAUGGACGGGACGGAGACCGCCGAAGCAGAGAACAUGCAGGAUAUGGUUAAGGAGCUGGUUCUGGAUGUCGAGGAGGAGAUCAUGGUGCCUAGCCCCAGGGACGACAGACCCCUCUCCCCACUCUUCCAGCGCUCCGUGUCGGAGGACUCUGCAGGAUCCUCCGCCUCGACCCUGGAGCACGCCAAAGUCCGGUAAGAGGAAGAGACGAUGUGAGUUGAGUAGGGUGAGGGGAAGAGAGUGACAUAGAAAGAGUGUGCGUGCGUGCCAGAUGGCCAGAAUAAGGCAAAGCAGGAGAUGGCAGCAGGGA